rnacentral:rRNA from 1 species
UGGUACAGCCACACCACCCAGAACACCCGAUCUCGUCUGAUCUUGGAAGCUAAGCAGGGUUGGGUCUGGUUAGUAUUUGGAUGGGAGACCACCUGAAAAUACCAGAUGCUGUGAGGC